rnacentral:rRNA from 1 species
CAUUUGAUCCCAUACGAUCACUGAAGUUAAGCAACAUCAAUCCUGGUCAGUACCUAGAUGGGUAACUGUUUGGGAAUACCAGGUGCUGAAA